AUUGAACGCUGGCGGCAGGCUUAACGCAUGCAAGUCGAGCGGAGAUGAGGUGCUUGCACCUUAUCUUAGCGGCGGACGGGUGAGUAAUGCUUAGGAAUCUGCCUAUUAGUGGGGGACAACAUUCCGAAAGGAAUGCUAAUACCGCAUACGUCCUACGGGAGAAAGCAGGGGAUCUUCGGACCUUGCACUAAUAGAUGAGCCUAAGUCGGAUUAGCUAGUUGGUGGGGUAAAGGCCUACCAAGGCGACGAUCUGUAGCGGGUCUGAGAGGAUGAUCCGCCACACUGGGACUGAGACACGGCCCAGACUCCUACGGGAGGCAGCAGUGGGGAAUAUUGGACAAUGGGGGGAACCCUGAUCCAGCCAUGCCGCGUGUGUGAAGAAGGCCUUAUGGUUGUAAAGCACUUUAAGCGAGGAGGAGGCUACUGAGACUAAUACUCUUGGAUAGUGGACGUUACUCGCAGAAUAAGCACCGGCUAACUCUGUGCCAGCAGCCGCCGUAA
rnacentral:rRNA from 1 species